CCUUCUGGUCUGCGGCCUCCAAAAAUGAUGGCCUCGAUGGGGACUCCCUCUGGGGAUUCCCACUGUGGGUCGAUGAUGGGGCACUGGCCGGCCGGAGUGCAGAAGCGGGAGUUGGGAUGAGCGCAGGGUUCGCCUGGGGAGGGAGAAGAGACGGGAAGGAUGUGAUGGUGACGUCCUCGGGCAGCGACUCAUCCAUCCCCUCCCAGUACACACCGCCGUCGCUGGUCUCUGCCACAUUGGUGAAGAUGGUGUUCUUGACAAUGGUCGCCAUGGCGUUGGGGUUGGUUUUGGCUGAGGUGCCAGGUGCGACGCCAAAAAAGCCGUUCUCUGGGUUGAUGGCGCGCAGGUUUCCUGACGAAGGGGAUCAAGGCGAUGUCGUCUCCCACACACUCGACCUUCCAGCCCGGCAGCGUGGGACAGAGCAUGGCCAGCAUGUGCUCGGCCAGCCAACCCUCCUCCUUGGCGAUACGUGAGGCGAUGCGCAGGGCAAAGCAUUUCUUUCCCAGCAGGGAGUUUCCUCCGUAACCGCUGCCAAAGGAGACGAUCUGCCUGCGAUCCGGGAUGUGGCCGAUCAGCGUCUGCUCGGGGUUACAGGGCCAGUUGUUCACCAGCGGCUCUGAGAGAGGAAUCGGUUCAUCGGUUACUUUGAAUCAAUGGUCAGUUUGCAUUGGAAAAGACAAAGGUAGCGUCAAUGGCAGCAGUGUUAAAGACGGUGUGGACGUACUCUUGAGCGGCAGGGGACAGCCGACGGAGUGCAGACAGCGGACAAACUCGCCGUUACCCAGCGCCGACAGCACGGCCUUCCCCAUGCGGGUCAUCACCCUCAUACUGGCCACCACGUAGGGGGAGUCGGUCAGCUCCACCCCGAUCUUGGAGAGGGGGGAACCCACCGGACCCAUGCUGUAGGGAAUCACAUACAUGAUGAUACGAUGGGAAUUUCAGGCCAAAUCUCUGCGCCACCUUUCAUGCAGCCGGGGAACCGCUGAGCCACGGCUUUGUCGAACUCUUCCUGCGACAUCCAGCGGCCCAGCUGGCUGACUCCGCCUCCCAGCGGCGUGGGCACCGUGUCGCUCUGGUCCCGGGUCACGAUCACAGUCUUGCUCUCCACACGAGCCACGUCCCUCGGGUCGGUCCGGGCCAACCAGCUGCAGGAGGAGGGAGGGAGGGAGAAGGAUGGAAGAGCAGAGGCAAAACAUUUUUUUAAAAUCUCACAUUUUAGAAUUUGUUCAUACCCACGCAUCUAAAUUAAAAAAAAACAUUAUUUCAACAUAAAAGAAUAACAAAAAUAUGAAAUGAUAUUUUCCAGCCUGCGGCUGUUUGAGCGCAUGAAUGCGUGACGGCUGCAGGUCGACAGCUCUGGUUUGACUGAACAGGCCGGACUUUCUGGUUUGUGGGAAUGUCGACUGUUGUCGAGUGUUGUUUAGGAGCAGCUACUGGCGACUGGACGUCGUCUCUUACAGCAAUAUGAGGAUUAAGUGGCGUCGCAGCCCGUGUCAGACCUGGUGAACACUCAGUGGAUCUCUGUGAAGAUCAAGACCCACCAGUUUUCAUAUUUGCCGAGCUUCUUGAUGACGCCCUGCUCCUCCAGCUGGGUCAGAAUGGCCCGGUUCUCCUCGUCCGAGCCGUCGCAGAUGUGGAGGGAGUCGGGCUGGCACAGGGUCACGUUGGCGUCCACGAACUCCCUGACGGCCGGGCUGAGGGCGCCGAGCUCGCCCUGCAGGACCCUGGGUCCGCUCUGGUCCUGGGACUGGAUCUCAGGAGGCAUGGCGCCGGAGGUGAAGUCUGGAAGGAGACGGAGGAAGAAGGAAAGAGGAGUGGACGAGUCUGGAGAGCUGAUUUAGGUCGAAGGUGUGAAAGGAAUAGAAAGUGAGGAAAAGGAACAGGAGAAGUGUGUUACAGGCCGCUGGUGAAUCAUUAAACGUCAUCGGGACGUAACGUCGUCUCCACGUAACCGGUUCCCUCUGGCCCCAGCUGAUAACCAGGAGCUGGGACACGGACGAGGUCCCAAACAGAGACAUGACCGUCAAUACAUCUCACUCUGGGAAACAGUUUCCUCUCCAUCCCCUCGGGGCGACGACCUCCUGUCCUCAUGCAGCAGCUGCCGGUGAACUUUGACCCACAUCACUAAAAGAUGAUAAGUUCAGCGUUCGGCGUCGUCAGGCAGAUAUGUGACGUGGGCCGACUUCCUCUUCAUUGGCUGACACACAGGGGCUCGCCCUGGUGCGCUCAAAGGAAAGCACAUGUAAAAGUAGAGAAAGAUUCAGCUGAAGUGUGGCCCAACAAGUGGGGCUUCCUGACCGAGGUCUACAAGGAGGACAAGAUGGAGGACGAGAAGCUGAAGAGAGAAAACAGGGCGGAGCUUCUUCCUCACCUGACGCCACCACCUGACACACCUCCAGCUAAAGACAGACAGGUACAAAACCUGAGAUGAAGAUUCAACAGGUUGGCCCCUCGCCUCCGGUUGGCCCCUCCCCUCCGGUUCCUCAGACGACUCAGGCCCUGAUUGGUUGGCGUUCAUCUCACUCUCAUCUUCAGCUGGAGAAGUUCGGCCUGGUGCAUCAUGGGAGGCGUAGUUUUCUGAAGGAGCUGGGCUGGUCUCUGGACGCCUGUGUCUGAUUGAAUGUGGAUUAAAAUACAUUGGACUGAU